rfam:Haemonchus contortus, ISE/inbred ISE, WGS project CAVP01000000 data, contig: Hcontortus_26446
GGCCCAAGUCUGAAGUAAGGUAAUAGUAAGGUCAGCUAACCCUACUAUUUCACUGUACUUCAAAAUUGGGCCC